rnacentral:tRNA from 1 species
GGGGUCGUAGCUCAAUUGGUCAGAGCGCCGCCCUGUCACGGCGGAGGCUGCGGGUUCGAGUCCCGUCGACCUCG